AACAGGAUUAGAUACCCUGGUAGUCCACGCUGUAAACGAUGUCGACUUGGAGGUUGUGCCCUUGAGGCGUGGCUUCCGGAGCUAACGCGUUAAGUCGACCGCCUGGGGAGUACGGCCGCAAGGUUAAAACUCAAAUGAAUUGACGGGGGCCCGCACAAGCGGUGGAGCAUGUGGUUUAAUUCGAUGCAACGCGAAGAACCUUACCUACUCUUGGCAUCCAGAGAAUUUGCUAGAGAUAGCUUAGUGCCUUCGGGAACUCUGAGACAGGUGCUGCAUGGCUGUCGUCAGCUCGUGUUGUGAAAUGUUGGGUUAAGUCCCGCAACGAGCGCAACCCUUAUCCUUUGUUGCCAGCACGUAAUGGUGGGAACUCAAAGGAGACUGCCGGUGAUAAACCGGAGGAAGGUGGGGAUGACGUCAAGUCAUCAUGGCCCUUACGAGUAGGGCUACACACGUGCUACAAUGGCAUAUACAAAGAGAAGCGAACUCGCGAGAGCAAGCGGACCUCAUAAAGUAUGUCGUAGUCCGGAUUGGAGUCUGCAACUCGACUCCAUGAAGUCGGAAUCGCUAGUAAUCGUAGAUCAGAAUGCUACGGUGAAUACGUUCCCGGGCCUUGUACACACCGCCCGUCACACCAUGGGAGUGGGUUGCAAAAGAAGUAGGUAGCUUAACCUUCGGGAGGGCGCUUACCACUUUGUGAUUCAUGACUGGGGUGAAGUCGUAACAAGGUAACC
rnacentral:rRNA from 1 species